UACGAAGGGGGCGAGCGUUGUUCGGAUUUACUGGGCGUAAAGGGCGCGCAGGCGGUCUUGAAAGUCAGGCGUGAAAGCCCCGGGCUUAACCUGGGAAUUGCGCUUGAUACUCUGAGACUGGAGUACGGGAGAGGAGAGUGGAGUUCCCAGUGUAGAGGUGAAAUUCGUAGAUAUUGGGAAGAACACCAGUGGCGAAGGCGGCUCUCUGGACCGUAACUGACGCUGAGGCGCGAAAGCGUGGGGAGCAAACAGG
rnacentral:rRNA from 1 species